rnacentral:rRNA from 1 species
GACGGGGGGGGCAAGUGUUCUUCGGAAUGACUGGGCGUAAAGCGCGCGUAGGCGGCCCUGUAAGUCCGUUGUGAAAGUCAAAGGCUCAACCUUUGAAAGCCGAUGGAUACUGCAGGGCUAGAGUCCGGAAGAGGCGAGUGGAAUCCUGGUGUAGCGGUGAAAUGCGCAGAUAUCAGGAAGAACACCCGGUGGCGAAGGCGGCUCUCUGGGACGGUACUGACGCUGAGACGCGAAAGCGUGGGGAGCGAACAGGAUU